GGUGUGGUAGCCAAGUGGUUUAAGGCGAGGGUCUGCAAAACCCUUAUGCGCGGGUUCGAAUCCCGCUCACACCU
rnacentral:tRNA from 1 species